rnacentral:rRNA from 1 species
UAGGGAAUCUUCCACAAUGGACGCAAGUCUGAUGGAGCAACGCCGCGUGAGUGAAGAAGGUCUUCGGAUCGUAAAGCUCUGUUGUUGGUGAAGAAGGAUAGAGGCGGUAACUGGUCUUUAUUUGACGGUAAUCAACCAGAAAGUCACGGCUAACUACGUGCCAGCAGCCGCGGUAAUACGUAGGUGGCAAGCGUUGUCCGGAUUUAUUGGGCGUAAAGCGAGCGCAGGCGGAAUGAUAAGUCUGAUGUGAAAGCCCACGGCUCAACCGUGGAACUGCAUCGGAAACUGUCAUUCUUGAGUGCAGAAGAGGAGAGUGGAACUCCAUGUGUAGCGGUGGAAUGCGUAGAUAUAUGGAAGAACACCAGUGGCGAAGGCGGCUCUCUGGUCUGCAACUGACGCUGAGGCUCGAAAGCAUGGGUAGCGAACAGGAUUAGAUACCCUGGUAGUCCAUGCCGUAAACGAUGAGCGCUAGGUGUUGGGGACUUUCCGGUUCUCAGUGCCGCAGCAAAACGCAUUAAGCGCU